rnacentral:tRNA from 1 species
UCUUAUUUAAGUUAAAAUGUAAACUAUUAAUUUGUGGCAUUAAAAAUACAAUUUGUAAUAAGAU